UGAGGCCUAGACCCCAACAACAACAACAAAACCCAAUGAAACUAAUGUUGACUUGCUAAUGUGGAGAUGGUUUUCAUUGCUCCAGGUGAGGGCAGUGCUAUAGGCAGCCAGUGGGUGGAAAGCAUCGAUAUUCUCUCCACAUAGGAAUCCUCACUGCAUGUAGAUCAGCCUCUCACAGCAAAAAAAAAAAAAAAAAAAAAUGUAUCUGGCCCUAGAUGUGAACAGUGCCAACCUGGUCUAACAUGUAUAUUAUAAACAAAGACAGCAAGCUACACAUGAAAAUGGUCUAUGGCUCAGUGCUUACCUGGCCUCUCCUACUCCACGUGCGGGAACCAUCUCAGGGAAUAGUCUACUCCAGGGGAAGAGGCUGUAGGACUCUGCAGGGGUAGAGCCACA